rnacentral:rRNA from 1 species
CCUACGGGAGGCAGCAGUGAGGAAUAUUGGUCAAUGGGCGGAAGCCUGAACCAGCCAAGCAGCGUGCAGGAUGACGGCUCUCCGGAUUGUAAACUGCUUUUAUACGGGAAUAACGCGCCUUACGUGUAGGGCUUUGCAUCUACCGUAUGAGUCAGGACAGCCUAAUUCCGUGCCAGCAGCCGCGGUAAUACGGAGGGUCCGGGCGUUAUACGGAUUUAUGGGGGUUGAAGGGAGCGUAGGCCGCAGGCCAAGCGUGCGGUGAAAGGUCCGGGCUCAACCCGGGCCGUGCAGCGGGAACUGGUGUGCUUGAGUGCGCGGAAGGCAGGCGGAAUUCGUCGUGUAGCGGUGAAAUGCUUAGAUAUGACGAAGAACCCCGAUGGCGAAGGCAGCUUGCUGCAGCGGAACUGACGCUGAUGCUCGAAAGCGCGGGGAUCGAACAGGAUUAGAUACCCGAGUAGUC